rnacentral:lncRNA from 1 species
ACAUUCCCAAGAACCUCAUAACCUAACAUUGGAUUUCAGCUAUUUGCAGAAUAUGAUUAAAUUGCCAUGUCUUUAUAGACACUUUGGCUUGCCCACUGAGAUCAAUGUCUAUUAAUAUCUUAUCUAGCUGAAAAUUCACCUCCAAAGUAGUUCCUGAAUCAGGAGGCAAGUCAUUAUCAUCUUCUAACCCUCUUUGCAUUCUGCCUCAUUUGCUAUAGUCAAGGCAUUAGAAUCAGUAAUGAAUAUGAUAUUUCAGUACUCAUGAGUGAGGACAUUAGUUCAAUCCAAAAUAAGAAGAACAGCUAAUGAAAGAACAUCUCCAGACAUUCACAUGGCCUGAGAAGGAAUUCUAGAGAUGUGGUAGGAACAACGCUUAUGCUUAAUAGGUAUUAGUGAUUUAAGACCUUUGGUGUUGAAGUGAUCCAGUGAGAAGUAGAAACAGUGUUUUCUAUGGAAGCUGCCUCCUGACUUUGUUUUGAAAAGUUCCAAUGUUUGUUUUUCAAUCUUCAUCUUUUCUACAUUACAAAAAGUGUUGAGAGAACUCCUGCAUUAUUUCUAAUUCCAACUAUUUGCUGGUUUUGAAGUCAUAAUACUUCAAUAAGAGAAAAUUGCAGAAGAGAAUACUUUAUUUUCCAAUAGGAGCAGUAAUUUAAACCAGUAUUCAGAUACAUAUUCAGGU